UACAGAGAGUGCAAACGUUGUUCGGAAUUACUGGGCUUAAAGCGCACGUAGGCGGUGUCGUAAGUGUCUGGUGAAAUCCCACGGCUCACCCGUGGAACUGCCAGGCAUACUGCGAUGCUCGAGUGUGGUAGGGGAGAGCGGAACUCCUGGUGGAGCGGUGAAAUGCGUAGAUAUCUGGAGGAAUACCGGUGGCGAAGGCGGCAUCCUGGACCGGCAUUGACGCUGAGGAGCGAAAGCCAGGGGAGCAAACGGG
rnacentral:rRNA from 1 species